UCCGACUUGACGUCGGCAGUCUCGUUAGAGUGCCCCACUUAAGGCUGGCAACUAACGACAGAGGUUGCGCUCGUUGCGGGACUUAACCCAACAUCUCACGACACGAGCUGACGACAGCCAUGCAGCAUCUGUGCACGCUCCCUUGCGGGUCCCUUCACUUACAUGUUGGUACCACGUGCAUGUCAAGCCUAGGUAAGGUUCUUCGCGUUGCGUCGAAUUAAACCACAUGCUCCACCGCUUGUGCGGGCCCCCGUCAAUUCCUUUGAGUUUCAACCUUGCGGUCGUACUCCCCAGGCGGGGUACUUCCUGCGUUAGCGCCGGCACCCAGAGGGUCGCUCCCCCAGGCACCUAGUGCCCAUCGUUUACAGCGUGGACUAC
rnacentral:misc_RNA from 1 species